rnacentral:rRNA from 1 species
ACGGAAGGCAGCAGUGGGGAAUAUUGCACAAUGGGGGAAACCCUGAUGCAGCGACGCCGCGUGAGUGAAGAAGUUAUUCGUAAUGUAAAGCUCUAUCAGCAGGGAAGAAAAUGACGGUACCUGACUAAGAAGCCCCGGCUAACUACGUGCCAGCAGCCGCGGUAAUACGUAGGGGGCAAGCGUUAUCCGGAUUUACUGGGUGUAAAGGGAGCGUAGACGGCAUCGUAAGUCUGAUGUGAAAGGCAGGGGCUCAACUCCUGGACUGCAUUGGAAACUACGAAGCUUGAGUGCCGGAGGGGUAAGCGGAAUUCCUAGUGUAGCGGUGAAAUGCGUAGAUAUUAGGAGGAACACCAGUGGCGAAGGCGGCUUACUGGACGGUAACUGACGUUGAGGCUCGAAAGCGUGGGGAGCAAACAGGAUUAGAUACCCUGGUA